CCAUAUUUAGUGCUUCCUUCAGGAGCUCUUGUAAGGCAAGCCAGGUGAGAAAAUCUCUCAGCAUUUGCUUGUCUGUAAAGGAUUUUUUUUCACCUUUGCUUAUGAAACUUAGUUUGGCUGGAUAUGAAAUUCUGGGUUGAAAAUCAUUUCACACUGUGGGCUCUUAGAUGAUCUCAUAAUGUUAAUUACCUAGAAAGGCUGGAUGAAAUAAUUAUUUUCCUUCAAUGACUAAUGAUAGCUGGUGGAUUUUUAUCGCCUCCCCCAUGAUUUUUUCAGCAAGGAUUCAAAGAGGUUUUGUGCUCCAAAUCUCAGUAAUUUACCAAAAAAACCACAGUUUUUUUUCCCUCACUCUUUGGUCUGCAGGUUGACUGGGAGAGCAGCAAGUAGGUGCAUGUGAGUGAAACACUGACAUGGGGUGGGGCCAGCAAGGAACAGGUGGAAGAAGACGAAGACCCCAGAGGUGGGCAGGUGGUUUGUUUCUCCCAUCUGCCUAGCCAAACUGGUCAAAUUAAUGUGCAUCCUUUGAUUUGUCCAGCCCCUUCCCUGAGGCCUGCUCCAAGCCUCCAUUGUCUUUUGUCAAUAGGUACAGAGUGGUGGGUUAGAAAGAGGUUGGUAAAGGAGACUGCAGGUGGCCAUUUAUCCUGCUGAUUAAGAGAUCUCGACUGGUUUGAUGAAGAAGCACCAUUAAAAACAAUAGACUCAACUUCCAUUUC
rnacentral:lncRNA from 1 species